UACGGGGGGGGGCAAGCGUUGUUCGGAAUUACUGGGCGUAAAGGGCUCGUAGGCGGCCAACUAAGUCAGACGUGAAAUCCCCAGGCUUAACCUGGGAACUGCGUCUGAUACUGGAUGGCUUGAAUCCGGGAGAGGGAUGCAGAAUUCCAGGUGUAGCGGUGAAAUGCGUAGAUAUCUGGAGGAAUACCGGUGGCGAAGGCGGCAUCCUGGACCGGCAUUGACGCUGAUGAGCGAAAGCUAGGGGAGCAAACGGGG
rnacentral:rRNA from 1 species